CCAAUAGCGUAUAUUAAAGUUGUUGCAGUUAAAAAGCUCGUAGUUGAAUUUUGGAUUCUUCCAAUUGGUCCAUCUUUUAGAUGAGUACUGGUUGUGUGGGGUCUAUCCGCCUGGUGAUACGUAAUGUCCUUUAUUGGAUGUUUCGGGUAGUCAGGACCUUUACCUUGAAAAAAUUAGAGUGUUUAAAGCAGGCUUAUGCCGGAAUACAUUAGCAUGGAAUAAUAGAAUAGGACGAAGUUGUUUUAUUUUGUUGGUUUCUAGGACAACCGUAAUGAUUAAUAGGGAUAGUUGGGGGCAUUAGUAUUCAAUUGUCAGAGGUGAAAUUCUUGGAUUUAUUGAAGACUAACUACUGCGAAAGCAUUUGCCAAGGAUGUUUUCAUUAAUCAAGAACGAAAGUUAGGGGAUCGAAGACGAUCAGAUACCGUCGUAGUCUUAACCAUAAACUAUGCCGACUAGGGAUCGGGCGAUGUUGUUUCCAUGACUCGCUCGGCACCUUAUG
rnacentral:ncRNA from 2 species